ACUAAUUCCUCACCAUGGGAAUUAGCUACCACCCCAAAUGGGCCACAACAUGCAUGCUAAUCACCUAGCAAUGCAACAUCAACAAAAUCAAGAAUAGACACAUGCUCACACUCUAAGCCACAAUACAGUCUAUUCACAAACGUAUACAUUCACAUCAUCAUGUAUACCAUCACACAUUAUCAACAUAAUUAAUCACAAAAGCA
rnacentral:lncRNA from 1 species